CUUGGUGAUUUUAGCGUAUGGGAACCACCCGAUACCAUCCCGAACUCGGCCGUGAAAACGUACAGCGCCGAUGAUACUACGUCUUAAGGCGUGGGAAAGUAGGACAUUGCCAAGC
rnacentral:rRNA from 1 species